rnacentral:rRNA from 1 species
UGGGGAAUAUUGCGCAAUGGGGGAACCCUGACGCAGCCAUGCCGCGUGAAUGAAGAAGGCCUUCGGGUUGCAAAGUUCUUUCGGUAUUGAGGAAGGUUGAUGUGUUAAUAGCACAUCAAAUUGACGUUAAAUACAGAAGAAGCACCGGCUAACCCCGUGCCAGCAGCCGCGGUAAUACGGAGGGUGCGAGCGUUAAUCGGAAUAACUGGGCGUAAAGGGCACGCAGGCGGUUAUUUAAGUGAGGUGUGAAAGCCCUGGGCUUAACCUAGGAAUUGCAUUUCAGACUGGGUAACUAGAGUACUUUAGGGAGGGGUAGAAUUCCACGUGUAGCGGUGAAAUGCGUAGAGAUGUGGAGGAAUACCGAAGGCGAAGGCAGCCCCUUGGGAAUGUACUGACGCUCAUGUGCGAAAGCGUGGGGAGCAAACAGGAUUAGAUACCCUGGUAGUCCACGCUGUAAACGCUGUCGAUUUGGAGGUUGGGGUUUAACUCUGGCGCCCGUAGCUAACGUGAUAAAUCGACCGCCUGGGGAGUACGGCCGCAAGGUUA